rnacentral:rRNA from 1 species
GACGAACGCUGGCGGCGCGCCUAACACAUGCAAGUCGAACGGAGCUUAGAGAGCUUGCUUUUUAAGCUUAGUGGCGAACGGGUGAGUAACGCGUGAGUAACCUGCCCUGGAGUGGGGGACAACAGUUGGAAACGACUGCUAAUACCGCAUAAGCCCACGGUACCGCAUGGCACUGAGGGAAAAGGAUUUAUUCGCUUUAGGAUGGACUCGCGUCCAAUUAGCUAGUUGGUGAGGUAACGGCCCACCAAGGCGACGAUUGGUAGCCGGACUGAGAGGUUGAACGGCCACAUUGGGACUGAGACACGGCCCAGACUCCUACGGGAGGCAGCAGUGGGGGAUAUUGCACAAUGGGGGGAAACCCUGAUGCAGCGACGCCGCGUGGAGGAAGAAGGUUUUCGGAUUGUAAACUCCUGUCGUUAGGGACGAUAAUGACGGUACCUAACAAGAAAGCACCGGCUAACUACGUG